GCCGCUAUAUUCAAUGACUGAAUCCAUUGGUAACACCGGAUGAAAAUGCAAGUCAGCAGUAUAUGCUGCCAUCCUUUCGUCGCUCCGAGGAAUGGGGGAGUUGAGCCUGCUCCAGCUACCCGAACCCGAUAAGCAUCAUUCGCAGCCAACUUGAACUACCCCAGGCCAGCUCUCAAUGCAGCAGGGAGUUUCUUGAGGACGACGAGAUCACGAUUUUAGUCAGGAGAAUAUGUUACCCACCCCCAGCCACAUCAACCUGCAGAAGGAAAGGCCAGUAAAACAUACUCGAAGGUCACGGAGAUCUUUACAUAAAUACGUGUCAUGCAAUGGUGUAGAGGAUGGGUGAGGACGGACGUUUUGCAACAUUAUCAAACAGGUACAACACCCGCAAGGCUUUAAAGGUGAGGGUGAGAAAAAAAUCGUAUAAAAGGCGAGAGAAAAGGCGAAGGGAAAUCAGUCGAGAGAGCAUCUUCGACACGGCAACAACUACAGCGCACUCACCAUCUGCCUUCUUCACCGUAUUGCCAGUUCGCAACCAUGGUUAUCUAAGUCGUCGUAUGCUGUUGGGUGUUGUAUCGUUGAUUGGUGGGUCGACCAUUGGUGUACCAAUGUCUCCUGGGGUAUGGCGAAUGUCAAACCGCAAUGCUGCCGCCUUACUACGCAACAAAAACAUACGCAACAACCGGUUCCUACACCACCAAGGCUCAAGAGUGUUACACCACAAUUUAUGAUGCCACGAGCUGCUACACCGAAUCCCGAAGUAUAACUGCCCCGAGUUACAUCACUAAGGCGCCGGAAUACUACACGUCUAUAUAUGCUGCCCCUUCCUACUACACCGAGGCCCCGCGUUACUACAACACCGGAUCGCUCAAGUAUUACACUACAACCUACGCUGCCCCGAACUACUACACCUACGUCCUGAAGUAUGUCUGUGCGUAUGAGGAGUCGUCCCCGAACUGCAGAGCCCUGUCUGUCACCAACUGCAUUCCUCAUCGUGUAACCAGUUCGGAAUUAUGGGCAACUAUUAAGUUUUUUACUUUGAGUUUUGUAUCAAUCUUUUUUUUUUUCUAGUUGCUAAUAUGCCUGUUAUUAUUUAAUAUUUAUGUUUAAAUUUAUUAAUUGUCUAGUUAACUAUGGUGUCGUGCUGCUGUUGGGUGUUGUAUCGUUGCUGGCUGGAUCGACCACUGGUGUACCGAAGUCUCUGGGUAUGGCGGAUAUCAAACCACAUCGCCGCCGCCUUCCUACACAACUUACGCAACGACGAGUUCCUGCACCGAGGUCUUCAAGUACUACACCACUAAAGCACCGGAGUUUUAUACCACAACUUACGCUGCCCCGAGCAACUACACCACCAAGGCCACGGAGUACUACAUGACAGCGCAUGCCGCCCCAUCCGACUACACCGAGGCUCCCAACUGCUACACCGAAGCUCCUGCUGAUAACUCCACCAAAACAAUCGAAUCCUACACCGAAGAGGCAAAGUACUACUCUGUCCCGAGCUACUCAACAAGAACUGAGGCGGCCAAGUAUUACUACACUGAUGCUCCAGUCUACUACACCGACCUACGCUACACCUAGCUACAACACCGCAGCCCCCAAGUACUACACCGAAGAAGUCGUCUGUUACACAACCAUGUACGCUGCCUGGUAUACUACAUCGAGGAAUUUAAGUAUUAUCCUGCUCCAAACUACUACCAUCUGAAGUUCAUUUGUAUUACACCAGCAAUUCUUCUGAUUUUGUCACCACUACUUAUGUUGCUCCGACCUAUCGAAGUUCUGAAGUAUUUCACUGGAUGUGUUGAAAGAUUGCUGAAAUACAAGAUUGAUCGAUAAA